UAGUUGGUGAGGUAACGGCUCACCAAGCCGACGAUGGAUAGGGGAACUGAGAGGUUGGUCCCCCACACUGGUACUGAGACACGGACCAGACUCCUACGGGAGGCAGCAGUGAGGAAUAUUGGUCAAUGGGCGGGAGCCUGAACCAGCCAAGUCGCGUGAAGGAAGAAGGAUCUAUGGUUCGUAAACUUCUUUUGCAGGGGAAUAAAGUGCGGGACGUGUCCUGUUUUGUAUGUACCCUGAGAAUAAGGAUCGGCUAACUCCGUGCCAGCAGCCGCGGUAAUACGGAGGAUCCGAGCGUUAUCCGGAUUUAUUGGGUUUAAAGGGUGCGUAGGUGGUUUGAUAAGUCAGCGGUGAAAGUUUGCAGCUUAACUGUAAAAAUGCCGUUGAAACUGUCGGACUUGAGUGUAAAUGAGGUAGGCGGAAUGCGUGGUGUAGCGGUGAAAUGCUUAGAUAUCACGAAGAACUCCGAUUGCGAAGGCAGCUUACUGGAUUGUAACUGACGCUGAUGCUCGAAAGUGUGGGUAUCAAACAGGAUUAGAUACCCUGGUAGUCCACACAGUAAACGAUGAAUACUCGCUGUUGGCGAUAUAC
rnacentral:rRNA from 1 species